UUCAAAAUCCGAUCAUAGAUGCAAACACACCAAAAUAUCCAUUUUCCUCAAACAUCAAUGUUGCAAAUUUUGUGACAUUGAAAUUAAAUGACAACAAUUACUUGCUACGAAAAACACAAGUUCUAUCUCUAUUCUCUGUUUGAAAGUCCAGGCUCCUAGGGUAGGACCAAAGACCGCGCUAUGAUGGAGUGGCCUGAUGAGUAGGCUUCUACCAAUUUUGCCUCUCCAUAGGUUGCUGGAU
rnacentral:lncRNA from 1 species